GCCUGGGUGGCUCCGUUGGUUGAGCAUCUGACUUCAGCUCAGGUCAUGAUCUUGCAGUCCGUGAGUUCGAGCCCCGCAUCGGGCU
rnacentral:tRNA from 1 species